GGCGGCAGGCCUAAUACAUGCAAGUCGAGCGCACCUUCGGGUGAGCGGCGGACGGGUGAGUAACGCGUGGGAAUAUGCCCUUUGGUACGGAACAACUGAGGGAAACUUCAGCUAAUACCGUAUGUGCCCUUCGGGGGAAAGAUUUAUCGCCAUUGGAGUAGCCCGCGUUGGAUUAGCUAGUUGGUAGGGUAAAGGCCUGCCAAGGCUACGAUCCAUAGCUGGUCUGAGAGGAUGAUCAGCCACAUUGGGACUGAGACACGGCCCAAACUCCUACGGGAGGCAGCAGUAGGGAAUCUUGCGCAAUGGGCGAAAGCCUGACGCAGCCAUGCCGCGUGAAUGAUGAAGGUCUUAGGAUUGUAAAAUUCUUUCACCGGGGAAGAUAAUGACGGUACCCGGAGAAGAAGCCCCGGCUAACUUCGUGCCAGCAGCCGCGGUAAUACGAAGGGGGCUAGCGUUGCUCGGAAUUACUGGGCGUAAAGGGCGCGUAGGCGGAUACUUAAGUUAGAGGUGAAAGCCCAGGGCUCAACCCUGGAAUAGCCUU
rnacentral:rRNA from 1 species